CAAAUGCGGCCCGAUAUCCAUUUUUAAUUGGCCCGCAGAGUGCAGAAAUCCCUCCCCCCUCUCAGCAUCCAUAAAAAAAAAAGUUUCCUUCCACGGCGUCAUUGAGGGGCGGAACCUACAGUGCUUCACAGAAGCUACAGAAGCCUGUCCUAAACUCCGCCCUCCCCUCCCCGUGACUGGAGUUUAGUGUAGUGCGGGGAGGGAGGGGGAGCCAGUAAACAAACUGAAAGCAUGGCUCCAACUGCUGCCUAACCUGGCCUGGAUUUCCUGCAUGAUCUCAUGAACUCCAAAUUCAAUGACCAAUGGAUGUAUGUGUCAAGUCUACAGUAAGAGCUGGAUGCAGCUGAAAAGCCUAAAAUGGAGAAAGUUUGCCCUAAGGUUUAUUGAAGAAUAAACAUUCUUGUACCAAAGGUGAGAGAUUAGUGACAAGUUUGCUCAUUCCAAAUACAAUUAUG